GAGCAAAUCCAACAGAGAGAAGAUAUGCAUAGAAGCUCUGGCAGGUUCCCUGUCACAGCUUUCCUUUCCCUACAGGAAAGAACACGCUUUGAGAAUCUGGGGCCCCAGUUAACGGGAAAGUCAAAUGAAGAUGGAAAACUGGGCCCAGGUGUCAUCGACCUUACUCGGCCAGAAGAUGCAGAGGGAAGUAAAGCAAUGAAUGGCUCUGCAGCUAAACUACAGCAGUAUUAUUGUUGGCCAACAGGAGGUGCCACUGUGGCUGAAGCACGAGUCUACAGGGACGCCCGCGGCCGUGCCAGCAGCGAGCCACACAUCAAGCGACCAAUGAAUGCAUUCAUGGUUUGGGCAAAGGAUGAGAGGAGAAAAAUCCUUCAGGCCUUCCCCGACAUGCAUAACUCCAACAUUAGCAAAAUCUUAGGAUCUCGCUGGAAAUCAAUGUCCAACCAGGAGAAGCAACCUUAUUAUGAAGAGCAGGCCCGGCUAAGCAAGAUCCACUUAGAGAAGUACCCAAACUAUAAAUACAAACCCCGACCGAAACGCACCUGCAUUGUUGAUGGCAAAAAGCUUCGGAUUG
rnacentral:sRNA from 1 species